rnacentral:rRNA from 1 species
GACGAACGCUGGCGGCGUGCCUAAUACAUGCAAGUAGAACGCUGAAGAGAGGAGCUUACUCUUCUUGGAUGAGUUGCGAACGGGUGAGUAACGCGUAGGUAACCUGCCUUGUAGCGGGGGAUAACUAUUGGAAACGAUAGCUAAUACCGCAUAACAAUGGAUGACACAUGUCAUUUAUUUGAAAGGGGCAAUUGCUCCACUACAAGAUGGACCUGCGUUGUAUUAGCUAGUAGGUGAGGUAAUGGCUCACCUAGGCGACGAUACAUAGCCGACCUGAGAGGGUGCUCGGCCACCCUGGGACUGCGGCCCGGCCCCGCCUCCUACGGGAGGCAGCAGUAGGGAAUCUUCGGCCAUGGGGGCAACCCUGACCGAGCAACGCCGCGUGAGUGAAGAAGGGUUUCGGAUCGUAAAGCUCUGUUGUAAGUCAAGAACGGGUGUGAGAGUGGAAAGUUCACACUGUGACGGUAGCUUACCAGAAAGGGACGGCUAACUACGUG